AGCGAACGCUGGCGGCAGGCCUAACACAUGCAAGUCGAACGAAGUCUUCGGACUUAGUGGCGGACGGGUGAGUAACACGUGGGAACGUGCCUUUAGGUUCGGAAUAACUCAGGGAAACUUGUGCUAAUACCGAAUGUGCCCUUCGGGGGAAAGAUUUAUCGCCUUUAGAGCGGCCCGCGUCUGAUUAGCUAGUUGGUGAGGUAAAGGCUCACCAAGGCGACGAUCAGUAGCUGGUCUGAGAGGAUGAUCAGCCACAUUGGGACUGAGACACGGCCCAAACUCCUACGGGAGGCAGCAGUGGGGAAUCUUGCGCAAUGGGCGAAAGCCUGACGCAGCCAUGCCGCGUGAAUGAUGAAGGUCUUAGGAUUGUAAAAUUCUUUCACCGGGGACGAUAAUGACGGUACCCGGAGAAGAAGCCCCGGCUAACUUCGUGCCAGCCGCCGCCGUAAGAC
rnacentral:rRNA from 1 species